AUUGAACGCUGGCGGCAGGCUUAACACAUGCAAGUCGAGCGGAGAGAGGUAGCUUGCUACUGAUCUUAGCGGCGGACGGGUGAGUAAUGCUUAGGAAUCUGCCUAUUAGUGGGGGACAACAUUUCGAAAGGAAUGCUAAUACCGCAUACGUCCUACGGGAGAAAGCAGGGGAUCUUCGGACCUUGCGCUAAUAGAUGAGCCUAAGUCGGAUUAGCUAGUUGGUGGGGUGAAGGCCUACCAAGGCGACGAUCUGUAGCGGGUCUGAGAGGAUGAUCCGCCACACUGGGACUGAGACACGGCCCAGACUCCUACGGGAGGCAGCAGUGGGGAAUAUUGGACAAUGGGCGCAAGCCUGAUCCAGCCAUGCCGCGUGUGUGAAGAAGGCCUUAUGGUUGUAAAGCACUUUAAGCGAGGAGGAGGCUACUUUAGUCAAUACCUAGAGAUAGUGGACGUUACUCGCAGAAUAAGCACCGGCUAACUCUGUGCCAGCAGCCGCCGUAA
rnacentral:rRNA from 1 species